rnacentral:rRNA from 1 species
AUUGAACGCUGGCGGCAGGCCUAACACAUGCAAGUCGAGCGAGCGGCGGACGGGUGAGUAAAGUCUGGGAAACUGCCUGAUGGAGGGGGAUAACUACGGUAAACGGUAGCUAAUACCGCAUAUCAUCUGAUGUGACCAGAUGGGAUAAGCUAGUAGGUGGGGUAACGGCUCCCCUAGGCGACGAUCCCUAGCUGGUCUGAGAGGAUGACCAGCCACACGGGAGCUGGGACACGGUCCAGACUCCUACGGGAGGCAGCAGUGGGGAAUAUUGCACAAUGGGCGCAAGCCUGAUGCAGCCAUGCCGCGUGUGUGAAGAGGGCCUUCGGGUUGUAAAGCACGUUCAGCGGGGAGGCGUUACCCGCAGAGGAAGCACCGGCUAACUCCGUGCCAGCAGCCGCGGUAAUUC